rnacentral:miRNA from 1 species
CUUCCAGUAGCACCUUAGAGACCAACUAAGUUUGUUAUUGGUAUGAACUUUCGCACACGAAAGCUCAUACCAAUAACAAACUUAGUUGAUCUCUAAGGUGCUACUGGAAG